GUACUAAUGAAGAGUCUCACCUAGGACGAAACGACUGUCCAGUAC
rnacentral:hammerhead_ribozyme from 1 species